UAGAUGCGAGAGUAGAGCAUAUCAAUAAGCGGAGGAAAAGAAACUAACAAGGAUUCCCUUAGUAACGGCGAGUGAAGCGGGAAGAGCUCAAAUUUGAAAUCUUCAAGGUUCUAUCUUGACGAAUUGUAGUUUAAAGAAGUGUUUUCUGUUAGAUGAGUAGCAAAAGUUCCUUGGAAUGGGACUAUCAUAGAGGGUGAGAAUCCCGUAUUUGGUUAUUCAUUCUAGCUUUGUGAUACACUUUCAAAGAGUCGGAUUGUUUGGGAAUGCAGUCCAAAAUGGGUGGUAAAUUUCAUCUAAAGCUAAAUAUUGGCGAGAGACCGAUAGCGAACAAGUACCGUGAGGGAAAGAUGAAAAGAACUUUGAAAAGAGAGUUAAACAGUACGUGAAAUUGUCAAAAGGGAAGCGUUUGACACCAGUGUUGUUUUUCCGAAAAUCAAUUACGAAUGGCUUGAUUUUGUGUUGUAUUGACCUUAUCAGCUUUCUGCACUUUUUUCGAGUCUUUCUUAAUGCACUUUUCGGUUAACAAGUUAACAUCAAUUUCUUUUGUUGUAAAAGAGUAUUCGGAAGGUGGCUUUCUUUUCGGAGAAAGUGUUUAUAGCCCUAUACUUCUACAAUCGGAGAGAUUGAGGUCUGCAGCGUAGAUCCUUCGGGGUUAGAUACACUUGUGCUAAGUUGUAGCUUUUCAUAGACAGCUUGUUGACUAUGUUUAGUCAUGCGGCUUACUCGCUUAUGCUAUUUUACCUACGCUUAGGAUGUUGAGCGCAUGUCUCUCUCU
rnacentral:rRNA from 1 species